UACAGAGACUGCAAGCGUUGUUCGGAUUCAUUGGGCGUAAAGGGUGCGUAGGUGGCGCCGUAAGUCAGGUGUGAAAUCUCGGGGCUCAACCCCGAAACUGCACUUGAUACUGCGGUGCUCGAGUACUGGAGAGGAGAUUGGAAUUUACGGUGUAGCAGUGAAAUGCGUAGAUAUCGUAAGGAAGACCAGUGGCGAAGGCGAAUCUCUGGACAGUUACUGACACUGAGGCACGAAGGCCAGGGGAGCAAACGGG
rnacentral:rRNA from 1 species